GGUAAUUCCAGCUCCAAUAGCGUAUAUUAAAAUUGUUGCAGUUAAAAAGCUCGUAGUUGAAUUUCUGCUGUAUUGCUUGUGUCCCUCCGGGGUCUGUGCAUGUGGCUUUUUUCGGACGGAGUUUCUUUGUCUGAAUGUUUACUUUGAGAAAAUUAGAGUGCUCAAAGCAGGCUUUUGCCUUGAAUAGUUUAGCAUGGAAUAAUAAAGUAGGACUUUGGUUCUAUUUUGUUGGUUUUAGGUACCAAAGUAAUGGUUAAUAGGAACAGUUGGGGGCAUUCGUAUUUAACUGUCAGAGGUGAAAUUCUUAGAUUUGUUAAAGACGAACUACUGCGAAAGCAUUUGCCAAGGAUGUUUUCAUUAAUCAAGAACGAAAGUUAGGGGAUCGAAGACGAUCAGAUACCGUCGUAGUCCUAACCAUAAACAAUGCCGACUAGAGAUUGGAGGUCGUCAGUUUUUACGACUCCUUCAGCACCUUGAGAGAAA
rnacentral:rRNA from 1 species